GCGCCUGCAAAAUCAGGCGCCGGGUUUAGCAUCCUGACUAAUCUUAUCGGCGACAUACGACGCGUCAGCGUCUUUUUU
rnacentral:sRNA from 2 species